CUUAAAUUGAAGAGUUUGAUCAUGGCUCAGAUUGAACGCUGGCGGCAGGCCUAACACAUGCAAGUCGAGCGGAAACGAGUUAUCUGAACCUUCGGGGRACGAUAACGGCGUCG
rnacentral:rRNA from 1 species